AUUGAACGCUGGCGGCAUGCUUUACACAUGCAAGUCGAACGGCAGCGAGGAGAAGCUUGCUUCUCUGUCGGCGAGUGGCGAACGGGUGAGUAUAGCAUCGGAACGUGCCAAGUAGUGGGGGAUAACCAAACGAAAGUUUGGCUAAUACCGCGUAAGCUCUAAGGAGGAAAGUAGGGGACCUAAAUAAGGCCUUACGCUAUUUGAUCGGCCGAUGUCGGAUUAGCUAGUUGGUGGGGUAAUGGCUCACCAAGGCAAUGAUCCGUAGCGGGUCUGAGAGGACGAUCCGCCACACUGGGACUGAGACACGGCCCAGACUCCUACGGGAGGCAGCAGUGGGGAAUUUUGGACAAUGGGGGAAACCCUGAUCCGGCCAUGCCGCGUGUAUGAAGAAGGCCUUAGGGUUGUAAAGUACUUUUGUUAGGGAAGAAAAGCUAGUUUUUAAUAAAAAUUAGUGAUGACGGUACCUAAAGAAUAAGCACCGGCUAACUACGUG
rnacentral:rRNA from 1 species